CCCUUAGAUGUUCUGGGCCGCACGCGCGCUACACUGAUGCAUUCAACGAGUCUAAAACCUGCUCUGAUAGGGGUGGGUAAUCUUUUGAAUGUGCAUCGUGAUUGGGAUAGAUGAUUGCAAUUUUUCAUCUUCAACGAGGAAUGCCUAGUAAACGCAAGUCAUCAGCUUGCAUUGACUACGUCCCUGCCCUUUGUACACACCGCCCGUCGCUCCUACCGAUUGAAUGAUCCGAUGAAUAUCAUGGAUUGAGGAUGCAAGCAGGUUCGCCUGUCUUCAUCUUCGAGAAGUGAAGUAAAUCUUAUCAUUUAGAGGAAGGAGAAGUCGUAACA
rnacentral:rRNA from 1 species